rnacentral:rRNA from 1 species
UAUCUCUCCAGUUGGCCCUCCUGUUGGCCCAUGGUCUCCGCUGUCGUCGUCUUCCCCCCAAAUCCCGAAACCUCUCUGCGUGCGCACACCCAGCUGCUUGGCGGCGGGCAUGGCGCACCGUGGUGCGGCUCCUCCCUGGCACUGCCUCCAGGAGCACGUCCCUACUGCUUGGUGGCGGUGUACAGGGGUGCGGCUCCUCCACGGCGCUGCCUCCCGUCGCUGUCCUGAAUCUUGCGGCAACCCCCCGCGGUGGUAGCUCUCGGCCAGCACAUGGAGGCGCUCCGAGAGGUGGGUUUGACCCGCAGCAUCCAGCAGCACGGCGCGACUCCCCACCACCGGUGACUCCUUUCUCACAUGGACCACCAUACUGGUGGCCUCCGUACUUCAACUCUACCAAGACACACCGUCCCUCGGCUCCACAGAUCGCGGUCGCUGCACUUCUUUCCUCCGUUCCCAACUUGAACAAUUCCACUGGAAUAUAUAGGCCGGACAAAAUUUUCUUCAAUUGGUGGCACUAUGAGGAUAAAUUAGCAUAGUUGAUGCAGUCUUCAAAUGAAUUUACUUUCGAUUUGUGACACUACAGACGUGUUCUUUAACUGUUCGUACAGUUGCCCUUAGGCUACAAAGAUUAAAAGGUACUCCCUAUGCCCCAUAAUAUAAGAUCGUUUUGCAAUCUGUUUGGGACGGAGAGAGUAAUAUCUACAGAAAGAGUUGUACAACUAUAUAUUUCUGAGAGCUAAUCUUAUUUGUAGCGCAUUGUUUAGUUUUCAUGUUUAGGUGGUUGAAGUUAUUUUUUACUGCAUAACCCACAAAUUAAGCAACUGGCACCAUCUGUUGAGAAGGUCAUCAGCCUCAACAUUUCUGAGAUAUUGGAAGUACAACUCAAUUAGUUAUUAUAGCUCUCAGAUUAGAUCUCUGUUUAUUUAGAUUCGGAACAUUUUGCCCAAUGAUUAGAGUUAGAGCCUUGAACAACUUAGAUAUUUGACUUAUUUUUGUUCACUGGUUCAGUGCACACAUGGACAGUUGAAUCAAGAUUGCAUAUCACAUUAGUAAGUGACUAU